CGGCGACCUUCGGAGAGAUACGUGCGACCGUGGAGUGCGCCUGCGCAGCUUUGGAAGCCGCAGAAUGAAGAAGGAUGGAGGAGAGCAGUGUGGGAAAGGAAUAAGAAAAUAAUUGACCUGCAUAAUCAGGAAUACAGCCAAGGGAAACAUGGCUUCACCAUGGCAAUGAAUGCCUUUGGUGACAUGACCAAUGAAGAAUUUAGGCAGGUGAUGAAUGGUUUUCAAAAUCAGAAGCAUAAGAAGGGGAAAGUGUUCCGUGAACCUCUCCUUAUUGAUGUCCCCAAAUCUGUGGAUUGGACUAAGAAAGGCUAUGUAACUCCUGUGAAGAAUCAGGGUCAGUGUGGUUCUUGUUGGGCAUUUAGUGCCACCGGUGCUCUUGAAGGACAGAUGUUCCGGAAAACUGGCAAACUUGUUUCGCUGAGUGAGCAGAACCUGGUGGACUGCUCUCAGCCUCAAGGCAAUCAGGGUUGCAAUGGUGGCCUCAUGGAUAAUGCCUUCCAGUAUAUUAAGGACAACGGAGGCCUGGACUCAGAGGAAUCUUAUCCAUAUCUUGCAACGGACACAAAUAGCUGUAACUAUAAGCCUGAGUGUUCUGCUGCCAAUGACACUGGCUUCGUUGACAUCCCUCAGCGGGAGAAGGCCCUUAUGAAGGCAGUGGCAACUGUGGGUCCCAUCGCUGUUGCUAUUGAUGCAGGCCAUGCAUCCUUCCAGUUCUAUAAAUCAGGUAUUUAUUAUGAUCCAGACUGCAGCAGCAAAGACCUGGAUCAUGGUGUUUUGGUGGUUGGCUAUGGCUUUGAAGGAACAGAUUCAAAUAACAAUAAAUUUUGGAUUGUCAAGAACAGCUGGGGUCCAGAAUGGGGCUGGAAUGGCUACGUAAAAAUGGCCAAAGACCAGAACAACCAUUGUGGAAUUGCCACAGCAGCCAGCUAUCCCACUGUGUGAGCUGAUGGAUGGUGAUGGUAGAGGACUUGAGGACAGCAUAUCUGGAGGAAUUUUAUCUUUAAAACUGACCAAACCCUUACUGUAUAAGAUCAUACGCUUGAAUCAUUGAGGAUCCAAGUUGUGAUUUGAAUGCUGUGACAUUUUUAUAAGGGUAAAAUGUUACCACUACUUUAAUUACUAUUAUAAAUAGCUUUAUAAUGUUGAAGCCUCAUUGCUUAACUCUAAGACUUUUGAAUUUUCAUUUUUUAAAAGGAUAUAUAAAACUCUGCCUUUUACAAUAAAUUUUAAUUCAAUACA